rnacentral:rRNA from 1 species
UACGUAGGGUGCGAGCGUUUAAUCGGAAUUACUGGGCGUAAAGCGUGCGCAGGCGGUUGUGCAAGACAGAGGUGAAAUCCCCGGGCUUUAACCUGGGAAUGGCCUUUGUGACUGCACGGCUAGAGUGUGUCAGAGGGGGGGUAGAAUUCCACGUGUAGCAGUGAAAAUGCGUAGAGAUGUGGAGGAAUACCGAUGGGCGAAGGCAGCCCCCCUGGGGAUAA